UUUACGAUCAUUUGGGCCCGGCCGACCGAAUAGCCCAACUCGAAAUGUCGGUGUUUGGGCUGAAGCUUCACAGCAGGCCCAAUUAUUUUAAAUUUUCAGCCCAUGAAAGUUGUUUCCCGGGUAAAUACUCCCCGCCAUCGAGGCCUCUCAGAUUCCACUCUCUGCAACAGAAAUUUGAAACCGCGGAAGGAAAAGGCUCCACUGCAACCCUUUCGUCGUCUCCAAAACCUCGUUUGGAUCUCGAUGUCCUCAUCCUUUGAAAAUUUGUGGAAGAUCUUCUUCAAGCUCCAUUGGUACUGAUUCUACGGCCCGUGAUCCGCUGUAGCUACUUCACGGUCGUGAUGGACCAUUUACGCUCAGGAAACUCGAGUUUCUCUUGUUUUUGCACUCGCUUCCCGAGCAUCUGUUCUCUCUCAGCGCUGUUAUGUCUCAGUAUUUGAUUUGGUAAUUGAUAGUACUCGAAGUUUUAGUACUUGUUUAAUCCGCACUUUUUCGGCUGGUUUGCAGUCUUGUCGUAGUCGGCUUACGAAACAUCGAAAUACUUGUUGCCUAAAAGGUUCGAGAGUCGAAAUUUAGAGGAGGCUUGGAAGUUCCUGAUCUCGAAGAUCUGAAGUUCAAGGUCUUAAAUCGAAGAGAUGAAUAUGAGAUAAGGAAGGUUGAGCUCACAGACCGUAGCAAUGAUCGGUUGGACAGCCUUAAUUUAUAGCGGAAACAACCAUACCUGGAAACAGUGGAUUUGAUUUCAGCGGUGCACAUCAAUCCUUCAAUGUCUAUACCGAGUACCUUUUUGAACAAGGCAAGAGAGAAAAUGGAAAUGACAAGACCUGUUUUGACGAGUCAAUACAAAUCUGAUGGGGAAAAGAUGGAUAUGAUAACCCCUGUAGUAACGAAAAAUAUGUUUCAGCCUGCAAAGGGUCUUCUACACAGCAGCACAACUAGGCAGCUAAGAAGGAACAAAACGGGAUACAUGACCAAAUAGCAGGUCCACAUCCGGCUGGAGAUGUUGCAUGAUUAGAAGCUUAUAAGACAGUUCAUAACCAAGAAGAUCUGACACAACCUGGAUUGCGGAUAAGAAGGCAGCCCAACAUUUUGUCGUCCGAAUGGUCCAACUUCCGUGCCAAAGUUGUUCAGGUGGGAGGAAAGCAGCAAUUUCCAUUUAUGGUCGAUUCAAAACUGGAGUUUCAAUGUAUGAUUCUAUGAAUCAGAUGACAUAAUCUAGUAUCUGGUUCAAAACUAUGGUGUGGACUCAUCACGUUAGGGCAGGGGAAGCGAGGAACUUAGCUUGCUCAUUUGUUGCUUGUCGUAAUUUCAUGGUUCUACCUAUAAGCCAUCGAAGCUACCACCUGCCCCACUAGAAAUAUGGGCAUAUGAGGAUUCUCCUUCUUGCUAACUUGUUCGUGGAGUACUUGUAGAGUUGGAGUUACCACAUUAAGUGCUUUGUGUAAGUUAUGAUUAGAAGAAGCAUCGGCCUAAAUUUUUGUUGCGCUCGUGGGAGCCCAAAACGACAAGAGUUAUAUGAGAAAGCCGGACAUUUUCAGGUUCCAUACUUAGAUGACCCGAACACUGGAGUGUGUAUGUUGAAAGUGCUGAACUUGUGGAGUAUCUUCAAGCAACUUAUGCUCUUUAGUAAGCCAUCCUCGCGAGUCAUUUCCAAGAAGGGGCCUAUAUAACUCUAAUGGAAUCCCUCUACCCCACAUCACAUAAAGAAACUUCCUGCCUGUUCUUUGAGGCCGUGAGAUCAGCCAUAUGAUUACCGAAUUUUCAAGUCGAUGCGUAAGUGAAUAUUCCUCAAUAUGAUUUUUUUUACUUCGAGACUGCUUAAUACGAUCUAUUUUCAAUGUCUGAUCAUUUACAAAUGUCUACUGUUACUAUUGGUGUACGCCACAGGUAUAGUUUUUUGUCUUCAGUCUUCAGUCUUUAGUCUUCACCCUUUAAUCUUCUAUCUCCAAAUUUAACUUAUUCAUUCAUGUUAGGGUAAAAGCCAGAGUUGAAUAUUGACAACUUCAUUUUAGAUGCAUGCCCAUUGCAGAAAACCCAUCAAUACUUCGUCAGCAAGGGUUGUUUAUAUCAAAGAAGCAUUCGACCCUC